UGCAGCAACGCCGCGUGAGGGACGACGGCCUUCGGGUUGUAAACCUCUUUUAGCAAGGAAGAAGCGAAAGUGACGGUACUUGCAGAAAAAGCGCCGGCUAACUACGUGCCAGCAGCCGCGGUAAUACGUAGGGCGCAAGCGUUAUCCGGAAUUAUUGGGCGUAAAGAGCUCGUAGGCGGUUUGUCGCGUCUGCUGUGAAAACUGGGGGCUCAACCCCCAGCCUGCAGUGGGUACGGGCAGACUAGAGUGCGGUAGGGGAGAUUGGAAUUCCUGGUGUAGCGGUGGAAUGCGCAGAUAUCAGGAGGAACACCGAUGGCGAAGGCAGAUCUCUGGGCCGUAACUGACGCUGAGGAGCGAAAGGGUGGGGAGCAAACAGGCUUAGAUACCCUGGUAGUCCACCCCGUAAACGUUGGGAACUAGUUGUGGGGUCCAUUCCACGGAUUCCGUGACGCAGCUAACGCAUUAAGUUCCCCGCCUGGGGAGUACGGCCGCAAGGCUAAAACUCAAAGGAAUUGACGGGGACCCGCACAAGCGGCGGAGCAUGCGGAUUAAUUCGAUGCAACGCGAAGAACCUUACCAAGGCUUGACAUAUACGAGAACGGGCCAGAAAUGGUCAACUCUUUG
rnacentral:rRNA from 1 species